AUUGAACGCUGGCGGCAGGCUUAACACAUGCAAGUCGAGCGGGGGAAGGUAGCUUGCUACCGGACCUAGCGGCGGACGGGUGAGUAAUGCUUAGGAAUCUGCCUAUUAGUGGGGGACAACAUCUCGAAAGGGAUGCUAAUACCGCAUACGUCCUACGGGAGAAAGCAGGGGAUCUUCGGACCUUGCGCUAAUAGAUGAGCCUAAGUCGGAUUUGCUAGUUGGUGGGGUAAAGGCCUACCAAGGCGACGAUCUGUAGCGGGUCUGAGAGGAUGAUCCGCCACACUGGGACUGAGACACGGCCCAGACUCCUACGGGAGGCAGCAGUGGGGAAUAUUGGACAAUGGGGGGAACCCUGAUCCAGCCAUGCCGCGUGUGUGAAGAAGGCCUUAUGGUUGCAAAGCACUUUAAGCGAGGAGGAGGCUACUUUAGUUAAUACCUAGAGAUAGUGGACGUUACUCGCAGAAUAAGCACCGGCUAACUCUGUGCCAGCAGCCGCAGUAA
rnacentral:rRNA from 1 species